rnacentral:rRNA from 1 species
AACGAACGCUGGCGGCAGGCUUAACACAUGCAAGUCGAACGCCCCGCAAGGGGAGUGGCAGACGGGUGAGUAACGCGUGGGAACAUACCCUUUUCUACGGAAUAGCUCUGGGAAACUGGAAUUAAUACCGUAUACGCCUUACGGGGGAAAGAUUUAUCGGGGAAGGAUUGGCCCGCGUUGGAUUAGCUAGUUGGUGGGGUAAAGGCCUACCAAGGCGACGAUCCAUAGCUGGUCUGAGAGGAUGAUCAGCCACAUUGGGACUGAGACACGGCCCAAACUCCUACGGGAGGCAGCAGUGGGGAAUAUUGGACAAUGGGCGCAAGCCUGAUCCAGCCAUGCCGCGUGAGUGAUGAAGGCCUUAGGGUUGUAAAGCUCUUUCACCGAUGAAGAUAAUGACGGUAGUCGGAGAAGAAGCCCCGGCUAACUUCGUG